CGCACAUUGCGCCCCUUGGUAUUCCAUUGGGCAUGCCUGUUCGAGCGUCAUUUACCCCCUCAAGCGCUGCUUGGUGUUGGGCGUCUGUUCCCUCGAAGAAGCGAGAGAACUCGCCCCAAAUACAUUGGCAGCAACUCCGCCAGCUUCUCGCGCAGCACCUUGCGCCCAAGAAGACUAUUGGUAGGACAUGCAUCCAUAAGAACCCCACUAUUUUGACCUCGAAUCAGGUGGGGAUACCCGCUGAACUUAA
rnacentral:misc_RNA from 1 species